rnacentral:rRNA from 1 species
CUUGCAGGGUACUCGAGUGGCUAACGGGUGAGUAACACGUGGGUGAUCUGCCCUGCACUUCGGGAUAAGCUUGGGAAACUGGGUCUAAUACCGGAUAGGAACCAUCUUUAGUGUGGUGGUUGGAAAGUUUUUUCGGUGUAGGAUGAGCUCGCGGCCUAUCAGCCUGUUGGUGGUGUAAUGGCCUACCAAGGCGGCGACGGGUAGCCGGCCUGAGAGGGUGUACGGCCACGUUGGGACCGAGAUACGGCCCAG